rnacentral:lncRNA from 1 species
AACAAACCCAUACAUAUAUAUAUAUAUAUAAAUAUAUAUAUAAUAUACAUAUAUAAAACAAAACUAACUCAAGAUGAUGCCAGUGCCAAGGUAGAGUUGAGUUGGCUCAGGCACCCGCAUCUCGUUGGACUUUGUGUUGCCUCAUCACCGAGAUGGGGAAAGCAUUCCCAUCAUGUGGCUCUUCCAUCACUUCUUAACUUUUGGCUCCAUGGUGUCUUGAAGACAGAACGAACAUCGCCACCCGUGAUAGCGUCCUGAUUCCUGUCACUCAUGAGGACGGGUGACGGGCAGGGAAGGGACAGUGCCAGUGUUCUGAAGCGGCACGGAAACAGACGAGGAGGUGCCGUCCGUGGGCCAGCAGUGAGGACACCACCCCAACACCAAUCAUACCGCAGAGAAACGAAGCCCUUAGUUUGUAGAAUGUAACCAGAUCUUUGAGGUCAUUUGCAGAACCACUUCUCCUGAUCUUCCUGUUCUGAUUCCCUCCCUGACCCACCAGCGACACGCAAGAUGUGGAGGAGAAAACGACCGACAAGAAAGUUUUCUCUUUGUUGCCAAACUUUUGGACAAAGUGGUAGAUGUGGGAAGGGGGAGAGAACAAAUGUGCUGAGAGGCAAGAUCCACGUCAAUAAAAGGACACUUCAGUGGAUGCUCAGAAAACCCAGUCUUACCUUCCAGCUGCCUUACACUCAGUUAAACAAGAGGCCGCCCUGCCCCUGACCCCACCUGCACUCCUGCAAGGGCAGAUCAGAGCCUCGGAGUAACGCUGUGAUGUGCGCGUGUGCGCGUGCAUGCGUGUGUGCGUGUGUGCGAGACUACUCCCGGUGGAUUCCUUUACUCCUUUUCACCUUUUCAAUUGGAAAUACUGCAUCAUGACUGUUGUCUCCAUCAUUUGUGGUCGUUUCGUGGCCCAGGCCGGAGGCCCGAGACCAAGGAAGAAUAACGAGGACCAAGCCAGUGCGGGUGCCCGUUCCGUAGCUUCAGAUCCCUGGAGAGUGUGUGUGUGUGUGUGUGUGUGUGUGUGUGUGUGUGUGUGUGUGUGGUGGAUGUUCCCUGAGUGUGGGGUUUUAUCGUUUGUGUUGCAUUUUUCUAUUAUUUGUAUGUGCAGCUGAAAUUCCCAGAGGGCAGAACCGAGAACAAAACCGCUGGGCCGAGGGCCCCAUGGUCCAUCACGUCACAGUUCUGGGAUGCCACAGGAUUUAGUCCUCUAAAUCUGGAAGUUCAAGACAAAGCUGGGCACAAAAGCCAUGAGAGAAGAGGGGGAACACAGUUCAGGAGGGAGAAGGGACGUUGCCUCUGUUGCUGUUGUACAAGUACGUGUACCAAACCAGACCUUCACUCCCCAUCAUGGAAGCUGUCCUUUGUCACUGGACAUCUACCCCUUUCCGAGGGGCAACCUCUGUACAGAUGAAAGAAAAUGGGUCCCAUGCAGAGAAAGCACCUCCAUGUCCCAUGGGCUCGAGUUUGUAUGAUAUUGUGUAAAUUAAUGGAGAACUCUUGACUCUUUCCAUCUUCUUCCUUUUCCUCUUGAUAUUCAAGGCCAUGCAUCCCAAAAUAGCCGUCUUAGUGGCUAGCACCCAAACAGAGGUGGCACAAAUCCAGCCCAGUGUCUCAGGCUCACUUGAGCAAAUUGGCCCUGCAGGUGUUGGCAAACCACGAAGUCAGCCAGAGUCGUGGAAGCUGUAGGGACGAGAGUCUGCUGGGAAGAGUGGGCAGGAGCAGCUGACCGUCACCUCGGUGACCCUGCUGCGGCUGAGCAGCCUUGGGGAGGCAAAAAGUGAAUCCCUAGGCUGUACAGUCAUGGGUCAAGCACGUAGCUGAGAAUUCAGUUGCUUCAUAAAUAAAUGUGCUUUGGGCACUUUGCCAACAGCUCAAUAGCCUUCCUUCCCGUCCAAGCACCUGUUCCAUCUCCCUGUCUUCUGAUCUGUCUUCCUACCAGUCCUCACCUUUCCUCACCCACUAACCACCUCUCCCUCCUCCACCCACAAGGCUACAAGUCCUGCCUGCCUCCUCAUCUGCUCUUUUGGACAGUGUGUGUGUGUGUGUGUGUGUGUGUGUGUGUGUGUGUGUGUAAUGCACAUCCACAUAGGACAUCCCAUGUGCAUGAAUGGCCUGAAUGAGGGUCUCUGUAAAAGUGUAGCUCUCUGGUGCAUUUUCUGUGUGUUUGUGUCAAUAUAACCUGGAUGCAGCUGUGGAUAUACCACUCAAGGCUUCCUUCCCAGCGACAUUGGUCAGCUUCUGCAAAAGAUCUCGUGUGUGUGUGCCUCUUGUAUGGGUGUGCUGAGAGAUGAGGGGUAAGGUGUGGAGCAGGAAAUGCUAGUACCUUCCAAUUGGGCUUCUAAGAAUUUUUAAAAUAAAGGGUUUAUUCUAUAGGAAGAGAACUCAUUUUCAAGAAAACCCAAUUUUUCUAUUGUAUACAGAAUUUUUAAAAUUUUCUCCUUGAAGAGUUGCGUUUCCCCCUUCAAGGCAUACUAGGGCUUGAGCAAGAGUGAGAAGCAGCUCAGAUUGAGAGGCCUUGUGUCUUCCUGCCAAGAAGUAUCUUGAGUGGGCUCUGCCCAGCAGGGAGAGGCAGGGGCCCAUGAGCAUCUGUUUGAGGCCAGAGGGCUUGUCUGUGACCAGACCCAAACUCCAGCUGUUUUCCAGCAGGAAAAUGGGGGAAAAAAUUCUAAAGGGGGCAACUUGCUAUCACUUAAACUUUUCUUAAGUAGCCAUGUUUGAAGAUACUGCUUCACCGACCUGUAACUAUUUAUACCUUCUUUUUUUUAAUCCCAUGCUUGCCAGAAAUGGAUCAGCCACUCUUUCCAGCUACUCAUCUUUAUGAUCGAUCCUUAAUACCGCUUAUUGUGUCCCUUCAAUACUUUCCUGAAGUGUUAAGAGAUUCCUAAGAAAGAAGUCAACCACCUGGGCUUAACUCACCAUCAGGAGAACAGGAGCUUUGAGCUGCUGCUUUGGUAGUGGGGCCGGGUAGGAACAGAUACACGCUGAGGUCUGAUCCUGCUUGGGACCAAUUCAAAGCGUAAGCCAUAUGAUCAGGAUGGAAGCCCCAUACACAUGGCAAGUCCUUGCCCCGGUGACCUUGACCCCUCCAACAUAGGGAUCCAGGUUAAGACCUGCUGCCCCACACUAUCACUGAUGCAGUGGUUUGGCUGAUGGAGAAGGAGGGGGCAGAGAAGGAGAAGGAGGCUGGAGCCCCUGCCAACUUCAAGUCAAAGUAGAACCCAACCUUCUGAUGGGAUUUAGGGUUAGCAGCCUCAUUAAAGCCCCAGCCCCGACCCCAGGUCAAGUUUAAUUUCUUACAGAUUGUGCAUGCAAGGUCUCUGACCAUGUAUGUGUUCUGAGCUCUGUGGGAGGCGGCUUUCAUUUCCCUCCUUACCUACGAGAUUGAGGAUUCAGGCAAGUGGAGUGUCUGCCUGGGAAGAGGUCCUAUCUCUUUUUCUCCCCACUUUGAGAGCUUUGGUUUCUUCGUGUUUCCUCUUCCUCUCUCCACUCACUUCCACUUUCCUUCUGCAUCAAUUUAAAGUAGUUGAUCAGUUAGAAUAGUUUAGGAAUCUGUUUCUGGAGACGCUCAUACUCUUCAAGUAGCCCCCUUCCUCAUUUGUUGUGGCUGUGGGCUUCCAGAGGAGAUCAGUGGCUUCCUGGCAUAAAAAUAUAAAACAGAAUUUUUUUAAUGUGCCUAUUCCAGCCUCAAUCCUUCUGAAAGCCUUUCAAUAACUAUAUCCUUUCAGCUUCAGGGAUCAUAAAGUUAGGAAGACUCAACAUCUCCACCAAAUAAAGACAAAGCCUUCCUUGAUCACAUGUCCAUAUGCAGCACCCUGAGCCCAUUCUGGCAUCUUCUCUUGUUGGGAGGGGGGUGGUUUCCCCUAACAAUGUUUGCCCUUCCUUUUGUAAGGGGAGACAAUAUCCUGGAACUCUUGAGUAUGGAUGGGCCCUACCUCAUAACAGUCAUCCACAGUCAUGAGAAGAGAUCUCAAAUGAACCAUGUGUAGUUCUGAUUUAAUGGGGGAUGUGCUGCUUAGAUCCCUAAUGCUGCCCACCUGAGUCAGACUCAGAAUAAUGAAAUCAAGUACAAUACCCAGAGCCAUUGACUCUGUCUUCCCCUGACGUAUUCUGGGAGCAUUAAUUAACUGGUUUUCAAGUAUCUGAGGGGAGGGAGCGGGAAGAAAUACACUCUGGUCAUCUUUGGGGUAGUUUGUGUGGGUUGCUUGGCUGAUUCUUACAGCUAAAGGGAAGCUGCCUUUUCUGAGAAUUUUCCUUCCACUCCAGGGGCUGACCAUCCCAGUGGACAAAUCCAGCCCCUUCCAGGGAAAUAUGAUGAGUCAUAGUGAGAGGUGAUUUCACUGUGUUUAGAAAUCAUGGGUGCAUACCAGGCAGGUUGGCUUCCAUGCCAUCUUCUAGCUGGUAUCCAAUAAAGUAAGGGGACAGGUUUUUAAACAAGCCCACCUGAGUUGAUAGACACAAAAGAUUCUGGCGUCUCUCAAAGCAGUCAACUUGGUGGGCUUUGUUUGCACUCUUUCCAUUGAUGCCUCCAUGGUGCAAAAUGUCUCCUAAAACAUUAUUGUUAGUUCAUAGAUUACAUUGUUAUUGGCUGUUGGAUUACUUUUUCUGAACAAUAGGAAACUGUAGAAAAUUAGAAAAAUAAAGUACAAAAAAAAAAAAAAA